rnacentral:rRNA from 1 species
AACGAACGCUGGCGGCAUGCCUAACACAUGCAAGUCGAACGAGACCUUCGGGUCUAGUGGCGCACGGGUGCGUAACGCGUGGGAACCUGCCCUUAGGUUCGGAAUAACUCCCCGAAAGGGGUGCUAAUACCGGAUAAUGUCUUCGGACCAAAGGUUUAUCGCCUUUGGAUGGGCCCGCGUUGGAUUAGCUAGUUGGUAGGGUAAAAGCCUACCAAGGCGACGAUCGAUAGCUGGUCUGAGAGGAUGAUCAGCCACACUGGGACUGAGACACGGCCCAGACUCCUACGGGAGGCAGCAGUGGGGAAUAUUGGACAAUGGGCGAAAGCAUGAUCCAGCAAUGCCGCGUGAGUGAUGAAGGCCUUAGGGUUGUAAAGCUCUUUUACCCGGGAUGAUAAUGACAGUACCGGGAGAAUAAGCUCCGGCUAACUCCGUG